rnacentral:rRNA from 1 species
UAGUCCACGCCGUAAACGAUGAUUACUAGGUGCUCGAAGUGUUAACUCUUUGGGUACCGGAGCUCACGCAUUAAGUAAUCCGCCUGGGGAGUACGGUCGCAAGGCUAAAACUCAAAGGAAUUGACGGGGGCCCGCACAAGCGGUGGAGUAUGUGGUUUAAUUCGAAGCAACGCGCAGAACCUUACCUGGACUUAACAUUCACCGACAACUCCAGAGAUGGAGCUUUCCCUUCGGGGACGGUGGGAUAGGUGCUGCAUGGCUGUCGUCAGCUCGUGUCGUAAGAUGUUGGGUUGAGUCCCGCAACGAGCGCAACCCUUGUCUUUAGUUGCCAUCAUUUAGUUGGGCACUCUAGAGAAACUGCCGGUGACAAACCGGAGGAAGGUGGGGAUGACGUCAAGUCCUCAUGGCCCUUACGGGUAGGGCUACACACGUGCUACAAUGGCGCUGACAGAGGGUUAAUCCCUAAAAGGCGUCUCAGUUCGGAUUGUCUUCUGCAACUCGAAGACAUGAAGUUGGAAUCG